rnacentral:rRNA from 1 species
CGUGAGGGAUGACGGCUUUCUGAGUUGUAAACCUCUUUCGACAGGGACGAUUGUGACGGUACCUGUAGAAGAAGCACCGGCCAACUAUGUGC